rnacentral:rRNA from 1 species
AGGAAGUAAAAGUCGUAACAAGGUUUCCGUAGGUGAACCUGCGGAAGGAUCAUUAUUGAAUGAAUGUAGAGUUGGUUGUCGCUGACCUGUAAUCGGGUAUGUGCACACCUUCUCUUUCAUCCACACACACCUGUGCACCUGUGAGACGGAGACUUAUUCCUCGCAAGAGGGRGGRGGUUUCCGUCUGCAACUAUACAAACUCAUAGAAUAAAUCUGAAUGUAAUUGAUGUAACGCAUCUUUAAACUAAGUUUCAACAACGGAUCUCUUGGCUCUCGCAUCGAUGAAGAACGCAGCGAAAUGCGAUAAGUAAUGUGAAUUGCAGAAUUCAGUGAAUCAUCGAAUCUUUGAACGCACCUUGCGCUCCUUGGUAUUCCUUGGAGCAUGCCUGUUUGAGUAUCAUGAAAUUAUCAAAACAAAUCUUUUGUUCAUUCGAUCGAUUUUGUUUUGGACUUGGAGGUCUGCAGAUUCACGUCUGCUCCUCUCAAAAACAUUAGCUGGAUCUCAGUAAGCUCGGUUCCACUCGGCGUGAUAAGUAUCACUCGCUGAGGACACCCCGUAAAAAAAGGUGGCCGGAUUUGCAGAUGAACCGCUUCUAAUGGUCCGUUAGCUCGGACAAACCAUACUUUAUGAUCUGAUCUCAAAUCAGGUAGG